rnacentral:rRNA from 1 species
GACAGAGGGUGCAAACGUUGUUCGGAUUUACUGGGCGUAAAGCGUGUGUAGGCGGCUUUGCAAGUCGGAUGUGAAAUCCCACGGCUCAACCGUGGAAGUGCAUCCGAAACGGCAUCGCUUGAGUCCCGGAGAGGAAGGUGGAAUGCUUGGUGUAGAGGUGAAAUUCGUAGAUAUCAAGCAGAACACCUGCGGCGAAGGCGGCCUUCUGGACGGUGACUGACGCUGAUGCGCGAAAGCUAGGGGAGCGAACGGG